AAACCAGCACCUCAAGUGGUCAGGAGGAUUAUUGGGCCUAAAGCAUCCGUAGCCUGCUCUGUAAGUUUCCGGUUAAAUUCAUUAGCUCAACUAAUGGGCUGCCGAAAAUACUGUAGAACUAGGGAGUGGGAGAGGUAGACGGUAUUCGGUAGGAAGGGGUAAAAUCCUUUGAUCUAUUGAGGACCACCUGUGGCGAAGGCGGUCUACCAGAACACGUUCGACGGUGAGGGAUGAAAGCUGGGGGAGCAAACCGGAUUAGAAACCCCAGUAGUCC
rnacentral:rRNA from 1 species